CCAGACUCCUACGGGAGGCAGCAGUGGGGGAUAUUGCACAAUGGGGGAAACCCUGAUGCAGCAACGCCGCGUGAGUGAGGAAGUAUUUCGGUAUGUAAAGCUCUAUCAGCAGGGAAUAGAAAAGAAGGUACCUGAAAAAGAAGCCCCGGCUAACUACGUGCCAGCAGCCGCGGUAAUACGUAGGGGGCAAGCGUUAUCCGGAUUUACUGGGUGUAAAGGGAGCGUAGACGGAAAGGCAAGUCAGAAGUGAAAGCCCAAGGCUCAACCAUGGGACUGCUUUUGAAACUGUCAAACUAGAGUGCGGGAGAGGUAAGAGGAAUUCCUAGUGUAGCGGUGAAAUGCGUAGAUAUUAGGAGGAACACCAGUGGCGAAGGCGUCUUACUGGACCGAAACUGACGUUGAGGCUCGAAAGCGUGGGGAGCAAACAGGAUUAGAUACCCUAGUAC
rnacentral:rRNA from 1 species